rnacentral:rRNA from 1 species
AUUGAACGCUGGCGGCAAGCUUAACACAUGCAAGUCGAGCGGAGUGAUGGUGCUUGCACUAUCACUCAGCGGAGGAGGGGUGAAUAAUGCUUAGUAACAUGCCUAUUAGUGGGGGACAACAUCUCGAAAGCGAGACUAAUACCUCAUAAGCUCAACGGGUAAAAGCAGGAGAUCACUAGAGACCGUGCGCUAAUUGAUGACUCCAAGAUGGAUUAACCAGUUGGUGGGGUAAAGGCCUACCAAGGCGACGAUCUGUAGCGGGUCUAGGAGGAUGGUCCGCCAAACUGGGACUGAGAUCCGGCCCAGAAUCCUACGGGAGGCAGCAGUGGGGAAUAUUGGACAAUGGGGGGAACCCUGAUCCAGCCAUGCCGCGUGUUUGAAGAAGGCCUUAUGGUUGUAAAGCACUUUAAGCGAGGAGGAGGCUCUUUUGGUUAAUACCCAAGAUGAGUGGACGUUACUCGCAGAAUAAGCACCGGCUAACUCUGUGCCAGCCGCCGCGGUAA